ACCAGUAUGCAAGACGUCAUUAAGUGAC
rnacentral:piRNA from 1 species